rnacentral:rRNA from 1 species
GAGAAUGCCCUACAAAGUAGAAAGGAGCAGGUAUCAGGCACAACUAAUUAGCCCAAAACACCUUGCUACGCCACACCCACACGGGCACCCAGCAGUGAUAAAUAUUAAGCAAUAAGUAAGCAACCCACAUCAAGCUUGACUUAGUUAUGAUUAUCAGGGCCGGUCAACCUCGUGCCAGCCACCGCGGUUAUACGAAGGGCCCAAAACAGCAGACCCCGGCGUAAAUUAUGGCUAGAGAAACUACUUAUUUAACGGGAGAUAAACACUAAACCCAAUCGUAAAACCUGAGUUAAAAGAAACCCCUCCCCUCCCAAGAACAAAGUAACUUGAACCCAUGAAGGCUAAGAAACAAACUAGGAUUAGAUACCCUACUAUGCUUAGCUGUUAACACGACACAGCUUAACACUAGUGUCCGCCAGAGGAUUACGCGCGAAAAGCUUAAAACUCAAAGGACUUGGCGGUGCUCCGUAUUCGUAUUAGAGGAGCCUGUCCUAUAAUCGAUACUCCACGCUUUACCUCACCAUCUUUUGUCCUUCCAGCCUAUAUACCGCCGUCGCAAACUUACCCCGUGAGGGCAUAACAGUAAGUAAAACAGUAUAACACUAACACGUCAGGUCAAGGUGUAGCUUAUAAGAUGGAAGAGAUGGGCUACAUUUUCUAUUACAGAACAUACGGCAAAGGACAUUGAAACAUGCCCACAAAGGCGGAUUUAAUAGUAAGACAGAAAAGAAAGCCUGUCUUAAACUCGCUCCGG